rnacentral:piRNA from 1 species
UGGACCAGUUUCAGCCUCGAAUGAUGCC